CAAACUGGAGAUGGCGACCGGCGCACGGGUGAGUAACACGUAUCCAACCUGCCGAUAACUCGGGGAUAGCCUUUCGAAAGAAAGAUUAAUACCCGAUGGCAUAAUAGAACCGCAUGGUUUGAUUAUUAAAGAAUUUCGGUUAUCGAUGGGGAUGCGUUCCAUUAGGCAGUUGGUGGGGUGACGGCCCACCAAACCUUCGAUGGAUAGGGGUUCUGAGAGGAAGGUCCCCCACAUUGGAACUGAGACACGGUCCAAACUCCUACGGGAGGCAGCAUG
rnacentral:rRNA from 1 species